GUAACGACUCUCGGCAACGGAUAUCUCGGCUCUCGCAUCGAUGAAGAACGUAGCGAAAUGCGAUACUUGGUGUGAAUUGCAGAAUCCCGUGAACCAUCGAGUCUUUGAACGCAAGUUGCGCCCGAAGCCACCAGGCUGAGGGCACGUCUGCCUGGGCGU
rnacentral:rRNA from 1 species